GAAGUUUAUUUGUAAAUGAAAUAGCUAACUCUCCUCAAGGCUUCUUCUUAUUUUGGGGGACUUUGUCCCAUGCCACACAUGCUCACUAUUCCUUUCUUGGUACCAAAUUGUCCCUUCUUCAAAGAUUAAAUAACUAAUUUUUCUCUUGAAAAACAAAGGGCACUGGUUGUUUCUAAAAAUAAUUUUGUUGGGGUAAAGUUUGUACCCAUUUUAAAUACACCAUCUCAUAAGGGGUUUUUUGGUUGUUUUCUGUUCAAUGAGUUUUUGUAGUUGAAAACCCCCUCUGUAACCGCAAGCCAGCACAUUGAAGAUGAAGAAUUUUCCUACCCCCUGAACACACACCUCCUGCCCUGUACAGCACUUUCCAGACUCCAGCCCCGGAAGCCACUGAUUCUUUUUUUCUGCUCUUCCAAGACUGGCUUUGCCUUUUUAAGAAUUUCACAUAAACAUGUCAUGAGCUAAUCAUUCCGUAUUAGGGCCUGCAGCACUUCCGGUUUUGGUAUUCAGGAAUUCAUACUGAAAUGUUCCAGGGACUCUGAUCUACAAAGGCUCCGUUCCUCGAAUGCAGUGCCAUUUGAGAACACGAGGUGGCACCCGUGGAGGGCUGUUAGAUUGGCCCUAGACCAACACCCGCCCCCUCAUUAGC
rnacentral:lncRNA from 1 species